AUGAUAGGUAUGUGCGUUUUAAGGGCUGAGGGAUCUACUUGCAUCAUAACCACAUGGUGGACAGGAUCCAGAACACUGUCUGACCUUCCUAAUACUCUGCUGUCUGGCCUGUCUGAUACUCUGCUGUCUGGCCUGUCUGAUACUCUGCUGUCUGACCUGUCUGAUACUCUGCUGUCUGGCCUGUCUGAUACUCUGCUGUCUGACCUUCCUAAUACUCUGCUGUCUGGCCUGUCUGAUACUCUGCUGUCUGACCUGUCUGAUACUCUGCGGUCUGGCCUGUCUGAUACUCUGCUGUCUGGCCUGUCUGAUACUCUGCGGUCUGGCCUGUCUGAUACUCUGCUGUCUGACCUGUCUGAUACUCUGCUGUCUGACCUUCCUAAUACUCUGCUGUCUGGCCUGUCUGAUACUCUGCUGUCUGACCUUCCUAAUAGUCUGCUGUCUGACCUUCCUAAUACUCUGCUGUCUGACCUGUCUGAUACUCUGCUGUCUGGCCUGUCUGAUACUCUGCUGUCUGACCUGUCUGAUACUCUGCUGUCUGGCCUGUCUGAUACUCUGCUGUCUGACCUGUCUGAUACUCUGCUGUCUGACCUUCCUAAUACUCUGCUGUCUGGCCUGUCUGAUACUCUGCUGUCUGACCUGUCUGAUACUCUGCUGUCUGACCUUCCUAAUACUCUGCUGUCUGGCCUGUCUGAUACUCUGCUGUCUGGCCUGUCUGAUACUCUGCUGUCUGACCUUCCUAAUACUCUGCUGUCUGGCCUGUCUGAUACUCUGCUGUCUGACCUGUCUGAUACUCUGCUGUCUGGCCUGUCUGAUACUCUGCGGUCUGGCCUGUCUGAUACUCUGCUGUCUGGCCUGUCUGAUACUCUGCGGUCUGGCCUGUCUGAUACUCUGCGGUCUGGCCUGUCUGAUACUCUGCGGUCUGGUCUGUCUGAUACUCUGCGGUUUGACUUGUCUGAUACUCUGCUGUCUGGCCUGUCUGAUACUCUGCUGUCUGACCUGCGUGAUACUCUACUGUCUGAUACACUACUGUAUGACCUGCUUGAUACUCUGCUGCAAGAUACUAUACUGUCUGACUUGCCUGCACCCUCGCAGGGCUGCAGGCCCAGACGGCAUCCCCAGCCGCGUCCUCAGAGCAUGUGCAGACCAGCUGGCUGGUGUGUUUACAGACAUAUUCAAUCAAUCCUUAUCCCAGUCUGCUGUCCCCACAUGCUUCAAGAGGGCCACCAUUGGUCCUGUUCCCAAGAAAGAUAA
rnacentral:lncRNA from 1 species